UAACGGAGAUGAGAAUGAGGGCCAAGGAGUGAGAUGGAAUGAUGAGCAAUUCCAAGCAGUUGAGAAGGUAUGCGAUGAACUCUCUCCCCCAUCCAGCCUAGAAGAUCUUGUCUUUCAACGAUUCCCCGGUCGGCAACUCCCAUGCUGGUUGAUGUCAACCUCACUAGACAAAUCCUUCCCUAAUCUGGCAUAUUUGAGGAUUUGGUACCUCAAAUCAUGCACGGAACUGCCUCCUCUAGGCAUGUUGCCCCUGCUAAAACAUCUUGACAUCACCGGCGGUGAAGCCAUCAAAACCAUUGGGCCUGGGUUUCUGGGCCGUAAGUUACGGGGAGCUUCCGCAUUUCCAAAACUCGAAUAUCUGGAGUUUUACGAAAUGCCCAACUGGGAAGAAUGGUCAGUAUGGGGGAUGGAAGAAAAUAGUCAGGGACCGCACCUCAAGCUCUUUCCUAAUCUGAAGAUAUGCAAGAUCAUAGACUGUCCGAAACUGAGAGCUCUUCCAGAAGGCCUAUCCCAUGCCACCAAGUUGAAGGAAUUGUAUCUCGAGAGUACUCAAGACUUGAGAGAAAUCACAAACCUCCGCGUGAAUUACAAGCUCGAGGUCAAAGAUAACACGAUGCUGAAUAGAAUAUCCAACCUUUCCAUGAAGUAUCUGAAGGUGGAAGAUUGUCCGAAUCUGGAGUACGUGGAGAAUCUCGACAGGUUGCAACAGCUGGUCCUGAUAUGUCCACGACAAAUGAAGCAACUUCCGCAGUGGCUAUCAACCCUAAUUCAGCAGCGCCAAAGCAUUCCUUCCGCUCAGUGGAGCUUCAGAAAACUGGAACUGCAAUGCAACAUCGUGCUGCUGAAGAGCUGUCUCGAGGGCAACGAGAAUUGGCAUAUCAUUCAACAGAUUCCAGAUGUCAUAAUUCAAACCUAUUCCAGGAAAAGUUAUAUUCGAUACAGCAAGCAUCCACGCAUGUACGAUGCAAAUGUAUGAUGAAUUCGUCGUUCCGGAUCAAUAAAAGGCCUCUGCCUGGUUAUUCUACUUAUAGAUAUUUUGAGAAUAAAGAAGCUAUUUGGAGCAGGGAUUCGAUGAUGUCGUCCUACUAUCAAGACUGUAUGCUUGUUUGUUUCCUUCUACGUUACUUAUUCGUGUAUUUGCACCUACGCAAUAAUUUAUCUUUCCAAAAGAAUUUAGAACAAAUGAUGUGGUCAUGUAAAUAGUAUGAAGGCGUUGUCCAUAGGCUAGCUCAGCAUGAAGAUGUUGUCACUGAUCCAUAUACGGAGAUGGCACAGGGAGACGAUUGACAAGAAUCUGCAGACAAAUUUACAUGGCUCAUCGUCAUAAAACACUGAAUCCAUAGCUAGGUUCUCCUUCAACGUGAAGGCUGCUGCAUCCUCUUCGAGGCUAAAAACGAAUCCAAAAGACAUCUACUCGGUCAUUGUGGCUACAACUUCUCAGCAUUCUUCACUUUCCGUUCUUCCAUCUUUGUGGAGCCUCCCGGACAUAUAUGGGGAGUUAUUUGCAUGCAUGAAGACUUUAGCAGAACGGUGCGAGAGAGCCCGUGUGUACACACAAGAUGGAGCUACAUUGGAUGUUGCAUGACCUCUAGUUUGAUGUGUGUUCAGAUUGUUCCUUGUCAUAUUUGAUCAGAAUAAUAUAUUUUAUUAGAAUCUUUUGCA